rnacentral:rRNA from 1 species
CUACGGGAGGCAGCAGUGGGGAAAUUUUGGACAAUGGGGGAAACCCUGAUCCAGCCAUUCCGCGUGAGUGAAGAAGGCCUUCGGGUUGUAAAGCUCUUUCAGGAGGGAAGAAACGGUUGCAGCUAAUACCUGCGACUAAUGACGGUACCUGAAGAAGAAGCACCGGCUAACUACGUGCCAGCAGCCGCGGUA